UACGGGGGGGGUAAGCGUUGUUCGGAAUUACUGGGCGUAAAGGGCUCGUAGGCGGCCAACUAAGUCAUACGUGAAAUCCCUCAGCUUAACUGGGGAACUGCGUGUGAUACUGGAUGGCUUGGAUUUGGGAGAGGGAUGCGGAAUUCCAGGUGUAGCGGUGAAAUGCGUAGAUAUCUGGAGGAACACCGGUGGCGAAGGCGGCAUCCUGGACCGAGAUUGACGCUGAUGCGCGAAAGCCAGGGGAGCAAACGGG
rnacentral:rRNA from 1 species